UAAAAGAAGUUGUUUCUUUUUUAAAUUAGAUUUUGAAAAGGCCUUUGAUUGUGUCAGAUGGGACAAUCUGGAUAGAACAAUGGAGCACAUGGGCUUCACCUUAAAAUGGCGAUCUUGGAUUCUAGCUUGCAUCAUAAAAGCGAGAAUGUCUAUUUUAAUUAACGGUUGUCCUACAAAUGAGUUCAAGACGUUGAAUGGGUUG
rnacentral:misc_RNA from 1 species